rnacentral:tRNA from 1 species
UCCCUGGUGGUCCAGUGAUUAAGACUCUGCACUUCCACUGCAGGGGCAGUGGGUUUGAUCCCUGGCUGGGGAA